AGUACGACCGCAAGGUUGAAACUCAAAGGAAUUGACGGGGGCCCGCACAAGCGGUGGAGCAUGUGGUUUAAUUCGAAGCAACGCGAAGAACCUUACCAGGUCUUGACAUCCUUUGACCACUCUAGAGAUAGAGCUUUCCCUUCGGGGACAAAGUGACAGGUGGUGCAUGGUUGUCGUCAGCUCGUGUCGUGAGAUGUUGGGUUAAGUCCCGCAACGAGCGCAACCCUUAUUGUUAGUUGCCAUCAUUUAGUUGGGCACUCUAGCGAGACUGCCGGUGACAAACCGGAGGAAGGUGGGGAUGACGUCAAAUCAUCAUGCCCCUUAUGACCUGGGCUACACACGUGCUACAAUGGGAAGUACAACGAGUCGCUAGACCGCGAGGUCAUGCAAAUCUCUUAAAGCUUCUCUCAGUUCGGAUUGCAGGCUGCAACUCGCCUGCAUGAAGCCGGAAUCGCUAGUAAUCGCGGAUCAGCACGCCGCGGUGAAUACGUUCCCGGGCCUUGUACACACCGCCCGU
rnacentral:rRNA from 1 species